GUGGAUUGCACCAGAAGUCGGUCGCUUAACCUCGGGAGGGCGCCGACCACGGUGUGGUCAAUGACUGGGGUGAAGUCGUAACAAGGAGCCGUAGGUGAACCUGCAGAAGGAUCA
rnacentral:rRNA from 1 species